AAUGAACGUUGGCGGCGUGGAUUAGGCAUGCAAGUCGAGCGAGAACCCCGCAAGGGGGGACAGCGGCAAACGGGGUAGUAAUGUGUCGGAACGUGCCCAGAGGACGGGGAUAGCGGCGGGAAACUGCCGGUAAUACCCGAUGAUCUCGAGAGAGCAAAGGUGUGAUUCCGCCUUUGGAGCGGCCGACAUGGUAUUAGCUAGUUGGCGGGGUAACGGCCCACCAAGGCUGUGAUGCCUAGGGGAUGUGAGAGCAUGAUCCCCACCAUUGGGACUGAGACACUGCCCAGACACCUACGGGUGGCUGCAGUCGAGAAUCUUCGUCAAUGGGCGAAAGCCUGAACGAGCGACGCCGCGUGCGGGAUGAAGGCCUUUGGGUUGUAAACCGCUGUCGAGGGGGAUGAAGGCAUCCAGGUCCUCCUGAAUGUUUGACAGAGCCCUGGAGGAAGCACGGGCUAAGUUCGUGCCAGCAGCCGCCGUAAGAC
rnacentral:rRNA from 1 species